rnacentral:ribozyme from 1 species
CGUUUUUUUAAAAAAUUUUUUUUUUUUUUUUUUUUUUUUUAACGAACGUUUGAAAUAAA